rnacentral:lncRNA from 1 species
AAGCUGACUAAACCCUUUAUAUAAAUUUAAAAGGUACAAUAAAGCACUACAUUUUCAAGAAUCCAUACAGAUUUGUCAUGUGUCAAAGUGGGUCCAUCUGAUGAGAGGGGAAAUAACAGGAAGGCUUGUGUACUGGAGCAAAUAACCCAUAUUAAAAUAUGAGAGGCCCCUUUGCAGACCUAUGAUCAACACUUGAGUGAAUGUGAGGUGAAAAACCUCAACAGUGGGGACAGGCAACUCUUUGGAGAAGUGUGGCUGUGACAGGGAGCUGAGAAGUGGGACAGCAGCCUGAUGUAGCUGUGGGGGAGGAGAGGGACAGUUAGACAUAGGGAGAGUAGACUAGGAGCAUAGCUGGCUGCUGUUGGGAGCAAUCUAGUAGAAGGGAGAAUGGAGGGAUGGUGCCAGAGCUGCUGAUAUCAUUGAGUGAGAUGGUAGGAGGAGAGGGAAGAGGGCGAAUUUCUUCAGUUAACAGGAAGGAAUUGGGGCAGAGGAGAGCUGCUGGGGAGUUCUGUGGGCUUGGAGAGGGAUGAUGGGAGAAGAGAGAAUGAAUGAUAUAGUUCCUUUGAAGAAUGGAAAGGAAAUCCUGGCCAGGCAUGGUGGCUCACGCCUGUAAUUCCAACACUUUGGGAGGCUGAGGUGGGUGGAUCACCUGAGGUCAGGAGGUCAAGACCAGCCUGGCCAAUGUGGUGAAAACCCGUCUCUACUAAAAAUACAAAAAUUAGCCGGACAUGGUGACAUGCACCUGUAGUCCCAGCUAUUCAGGAAGCUGAGGCAUGAGAAUCGCUUGAACCCAGAAGGCAGAGGUUGCAGUGAGUCAAGAUUGCACCACUGCACUCCAGCCUGGGAGACAGAGCAAGACUCUGUCAAAAAAAAAAAAGGAAGAAAGAAAGAAAAAAAAGGAAAUCCUGCAUGCAGAUUAAGAUUAAGGUCAUUGGACUUUGCUGAAAUGCCCAUUUGAAGCCUGUGUUGUAGAACGGUGGAGUGUGUGUUAUGGAAGAGGAGCUCCGCAUGGCAGAGCAUGAGAGGAGCAUGGAUAGUGAGGUGUGGGGUGUUACAGAGGUCACAGACACUGGACAGCACAGAUUCGGGAGGGGACCAUAGGACAGCAGAGCGAGUGCUAUAAGGGUCCCAGGACAGGCAAGGUGAUUUAAAGAAGGGGAAACACUAGGCAAAAUCAAAGGGGUGAAGGGAAGGUGUCUGUAACAAGCAGUUGGGUGCAGUCUGGGGACACACAGGGGACAACACUCGCAGACUGUAGACAGGAAGAAAGGUGGCUCUCAGCAGGGGAGGAAAGUCCUGCCGGGCAGCAGCCUCACCACCUACUGCCACCCUAGGUACUUCCCGAACCACAGCCCUCUGACCCCUGAGGAUCCUGAAGGGAGGGCUGUGUGGGCACAAAGCUAAUAAUAAAAGGGUGUCCAAAGAGGAGGGGGGCCUGAGGCCAUGCACAGAUGGCAACUUCUGGUCUGACCCACCUUUACUCAUCUUCAGGUGAGCCCAGUGGUGGUGUCCUGCCUGGAGUGCCUUCGGGUCCCCGCUGGUGCCUCCUCCUUAGACACACCUGGGCUCGUCAGGGAUGCACCCAUGAGCGUUUCGGUGGAGGAGGCGCCUGGAUGGAGCUCAUUCGUGUACAAGUCCCAGUACCGUGAACUAGUAGGAAGACUAAACAUAAAACUAGGAGAUAAUUCCCUGACAUUGGGUUAAUUUCCUUACCAUAAAAAGAAUGUAUAAUUUUGGGCUGGGCGCGGUGACUCAUGCAUGUAAUCCCAGAAUUUUGAGAGGCUGAGGCAGGCAGAUCACUUGAGUCCAGGAGUUCAAGACCAGCCUGGCCAACACAGUGAAAUCCCAUUUCUAUUAAAAAUAGAAAAAAUUAGCCAGGUGCAGUGGGGCACACCUGUAACGCCAGCUACUCGGGAGGCAGAGGCAUGAGAAUCUCUUGAGCGGGAGGUUGCAGUGAGCUGAGAUCGCACUCCUAUACUCCAGCCUGGAUGACAGAGCAAGAUUUUGUCUCAAAAAAAAAAAGAAAAAAAAAGUAAGAAAGAAAAGAAAGAAUAAUUUUGAAGAAGAAAAAGGAAAAAAAGGAGGAGAAGAAAGAGGGCUUGGUUCGGUGUAUGCUAAAGAAGUGGUCCCUAGAUCAGCAGCAAGGGCUUGCCCUGGAAACUUGUUAGAAAUGCACAUUCUCAGGCUUGACCCCAGACUUAAUGAAUCAGAAACUCUGUAUUAACAAACCCCGAAGGUAGUUCUAAUGCACGAUGGAGUUUGAGAACUACAGUUCUAAGGCAAUUUCCACUCUAUUCCACCCUCAUUUCCAAACAUUUAGCCAUGUUGCUGCUGGAGCCAGGCUGCAGGGUGCCAAUUAAAGCCUUAACUUAGGGUUAGAGGGGGGAAGUCCUGGUGUGGAGACCUGGUGAGGAGCUUCCUCACUCUCACUGCAUAGAGACCAGCUUUGAAGCACCCAGAGCAGAGAGAUCAGGACCAUGGGAACACUGGAAGAAUGUGACUCAGAGAGCCUUGGCCCUGCAGGGAUGCAGUUAUGAUAGCUUGUUUCCCUGCCCACCAGAAAGCACAGUAGCCACUGAAAGAGAUAUAUGAUAACUUAAACAAUUAGGAGCACUUAGAGAUUCAAGUAGUAUGAAAAAAAAAAAAAAAAAAAAAGAGGAAGAAGAAAAGAAAGAAAAAAAAGGAAAAAGAAAGAAACAACUUUUGGGAACUAAAAAAACAACACUUUCAACAACAAAAAAAUUAGUAUAUGUAUUGAAAGAGAGAAUAGGCACUGCUGAGACUCAAAUUAGUGGCUUGGAAGAACAAGUGGAAAUAAUAUUUCAAAGCAUGGAGCAAAUACUAUGAAGAGAUGGAAAUAAUGAGGAAAAUGUGAUUCUUGGAGAGUAGAUCCAGUAGUCCUGAAAUUCAACUAUAUUAGUUCCAAAAGGGGGAAAAGGAAUAGAUGGAGGAGAAGCAAUAAAGAAUAGAAGAAAAUUUUGCUGACGUGAAGAAAUAUCUGAGCUUGAAGACUGAAAGGAAACAGGAAGAUACAACAAGAAAAGACAUACACACAGGCAUGAAACUCCCAAACUUCAAGGUUAAAGAAAAACAUUUUCAAGUUUUUAGACAGAAAGAGCAAGUUAUCUACAAAAGGAAACAAAUCACAUUGGUAUGGGACUUUUCAUCUGCAACACUGGAGGCUCAAAGUGGGAAAACUGAGAGAAAUAAAUGACUACACAGGAAUCUUUCUUUCUUUCUUUUUUUUUUUUUUUUUUUGAGAUGGAGUCUCGCUCUGUUGCCCAGGUUGGAGUGCGGUGGCACAAUCUUGGCUCACUGCGACCUUUGCCCCCUGGGUUCAAGUGAUUCUCCUGCCUCAGCUGCCUGAGUAGCCGAGAUUACAGGCGUGCACCACCACUCCCGGCUAAUUUUUGUAUUUUUAAUAGAGACGGGGUUUCACCAUGUUGGUCAGGCUGGUCUCAAACUCCUGACCUUGUGAUCCACCUGCCUCAGCCUCCCAAAGUGCUGGAAUUACAGGCGUGAGCCACUGCGCCCGGCCAGGAGUCUUUUAUUUAUUUUUAUUUUAAUUUUUUUGAGACUGAGUCUUGUUCUGUCACCCAGGCUGGAGCGCAGUGGUGCAAUCUCAACUCACUGCAACCUCCACCUCCCAGGUUUAAGCAAUUCUCCUGCCUCAGCCUCACAAGUAGCUGGGACUACAGGCACCUGCCAUGACACCUGGCUAAUUUUUGUAUUUUUAGUAGAGAUGGGGUUUCACCAUGUUGGCCAGGUUGGUCUCGAACCCCUGACAUCAAGUAAUCCACCCACCUUGGCCUCCCAAAGUGCUGGGAUUACAGGUGUGAGUCACUGCAUCCAGCCUUACACAGGAAUCUCAUACCCAGCUGAGAGAACUUUCACCUAUCAGGGCAAAAGAUAUAUAUUUGGAGAUCCAAAGGAUUCAGAGAGUAUAUCAAUCUCAUACCUCACCUGAAAGAAUGGUUUGGUACAGAACAGAGAAAUCAAGAUAGAGGAAGGUGAAGAGAAUAAAGAACAAGUAGUGAGCAACAAACUUAGAAAGAAAAAUAUUAUACAGUUAAAUGUUCAUGGAGCUUGAUAGACAUCUAAUUAUAUCUACAACCAAAAGUACUAUCCUAUCUCAGAAAAACCCAGGAGUUGGAAGCAGAGUGAGAGAGGUAAGAAAAAGUAUUCUAAAUGUCUCUUAUUGGUAGAAGUGCAGGACAUGAAACAUCUUAAUGGAAUACAUAAUUGGCAUAUUUUCAAAUAAUCAUAAUGUGUGUUUUAUUAUUAUUGCUGGAAGGGAAGGUAACUAACAAGAGAAUGGAAAAAUAUAGUAGAACAUCCAAAAUAACAAUGGGGUAGGGGAAAUGAAAGAAUAGCAACAUGAGCUACAAAGCUAAAUCAUGGGAUGAGUAAAGAACAUACAAUAAGAUAACAGAAAUGAAAUAAAAAUGUAUCAUUCAUUCCACUUGUGGAAUAAUAAUUUAUUCAAAAGAAGGCAUAAAAAGAGGGAGAAAAGAGUCUGGGUGUGAUGGCUCAUGCCUGUAAUCCCAGCACUUUGGGAGGCCGAGGCGGGUGGAUCAUGAGGUCAGGAGUUUGAGACCAGCCUGACCAACAUGGUGAAACCCCGUCUCUACUAAAAAUACAAAAAUUAGCUGGGCGUGGUAGCAGGCGCCUGUAGUCCCAGCUACUCGGGAGUCUGAGGGAGGAGAAUCGCUUGAACCCAGGAGGUGGAGGUUGCAGUGAGCAGAGAUCAUGCCACUGCACUCCAGCCUGGGCGACAGAGCGAGAGUCCGUCUAAAAAAUAAAUAAAUAAAUAAAAACAAAUAAAUAAAUAAAAGUGACAAAAUAGAUCUAUAUUUAUUGACAUAAAAAGAUGUCUUAUGCCGGGCGCGGUGGCUCACACCUGUAAUCCCAGCACUUUGGGAGGCUGAGAUGGGC